rnacentral:rRNA from 1 species
GACGAACGCUGGCGGCGUGCUUAACACAUGCAAGUCGAACGGAAAGGCCCCUUUGGGGGUACUCGAGUGGCGAACGGGUGCGUAACACGUGAGUAACCGGCCCUCGACUUCGGGAUAACUUCAGGAAACUGGGGCUAAUACCGGAUAGGAAUCCUUGCUGCAUGGUGGGGGUUGAAAAGCUUCGGCGGUUUUGGAGGGACGCGCGGCUUAUCAGCUGUUUGGUGGGGUUGUGGCUUACCAAGGCUUUGAAGGGUAGCAGGCCUGAGAGGGCGGCGGGCCACAUUGGGACUGAGAAACGGCCCAGACUCCGACGAGAGGCAGCAGUGGGGAAUAUUGCACAAUGGGCGGAAGCCUGAUGCAGAAACGCCGCGUGCGGGAUGACGGCCUUCGGGUUGUAAGCCGCUUUCAGCAGGGGCGAAGCUUGUGGUGACGGUACCUGCAGAAGAAGCACCGGCUAACUACGUG